GCCACAUUAAAAUAAGAGCAUGUGGAGGUGCAUUUGUGCAAAUGAAAAGCCUCUUGCAUCGGCGGGGGCACUGAGCUGCCAGAAGACUAAAGGUAAGUAUUCGGCGGCUGAUUUAACUGAGCAGCUGGCUCAGUAUGAACAGCAAAUAGUGCAGCUCAAAGACCAAAUUCUGGACAAAGAAACCCAGCUUCACGUGAGAGAUGAACAGCUUAAGUUGCUGGAAGACCUCAAGGUAAAACUCCGUGAAAA